rnacentral:tRNA from 1 species
GGUAAGGUGGCCGAGAGUAGGCGGUGGGUUGUAGCUCCAAAAACAGAGGUCAAAGUCCUCUUCUUACCA